rnacentral:lncRNA from 1 species
AGAAAACAACUGACAAACCAAACAAAUCUGGGAGGCUCAGCAUAUACAUUUUUCUCUUCUAGAAGCUCCAAAGUGCUAAUAUAACAUUUACAUUUAAAUCUGGCGACAUUCAAAUGAAGAAAGCCAAUCGGGAAGAUACUGUCUCUGGGUCUGCAUCCCUGAAGCUUUGUUUUACUGUUGGAGAUGAACAAAUGUAAAUAAUUUAAAGCAUCGCCCCAGUAGUAUUUUCCUCAUUUAAGUUUUAUUUCUAUGUAAAUUUACCUCAGGCCUGGAAAGGUUUGUUUCUGGCCUAGGAUAAAUGGCUGUUUUAUUGCCAGAGUCCAGGCUGGCGAAUUUCCCCAGACACUGGCUAGCUCCUGGGUGGCAGAGUUUGGCUGAAAGACAUCAACGCAAACAUGGUCUCUUUUUCCUUUGCCUGAACUACUAUUCAAAUGAAGAUUAUUAAAGAGAUCUAAAUGUGAAAAUGUUAUAUACUAGCAACAGACACAUCCCCCAAAUGCAUGCACAUGGCCUAAAUUAGACCACCGAAGUAGGCGGUGUCCAGCCUAAAAAUUAUAAGAAAGGAAUUGGAUAAUGAGAGGCAGCAGUCCGUGAAGCCAGCCCACCGGCAGA